rnacentral:rRNA from 1 species
AUUGAACGCUGGCGGCAUGCCUUACACAUGCAAGUCGAACGGCAGCGCGGGAGCAAUCCUGGCGGCGAGUGGCGAACGGGUGAGUAAUACAUCGGAACGUGCCCAAUCGUGGGGGAUAACGCAGCGAAAGCUGUGCUAAUACCGCAUACGAUCUACGGAUGAAAGCAGGGGAUCGCAAGACCUUGCGCGCAUGGAGCGGCCGAUGGCAGAUUAGGUAGUUGGUGAGGUAAAGGCUCACCAAGCCUUCGAUCUGUAGCUGGUCUGAGAGGACGACCAGCCACACUGGGACUGAGACACGGCCCAGACUCCUACGGGAGGCAGCAGUGGGGAAUUUUGGACAAUGGGCGAAAGCCUGAUCCAGCCAUGCCGCGUGCAGGAUGAAGGCCUUCGGGUUGUAAACUGCUUUUGUACGGAACGAAACGGUCUUUUCUAAUAAAGAAGGCUAAUGACGGUACCGUAAGAAUAAGCACCGGCUAACUACGUG